rnacentral:rRNA from 1 species
CCCUUAGAUGUUCUGGGCUGCACGCGCGCUACACUGAUGCAAUCACCGAGUUUUUCCUGCUCCGAUAGGAUUGGGUAAUCUUUUGAAAUUGCAUCGUGAUGGGGAUAGAUUAUUGCAAUUAUUAGUCUUCAACGAGGAAUUCCUAGUAAGCGUAAAUCAUCAGCUUGCGCUGAUUACGUCCCUGCCCUUUGUACACACCGCCCGUCGCUCCUACCGAUCGAAGAGUUAGGUGAAUUGUUUUGAUCGAUAAGAUUUGACUAUGGUCAACUCUCGUUGUGAAAUUCUGUGAAUCUGACUGUUUAGAGGAAGGAAAAGUCGUAACA